GACGAACGCUGGCGGCGUGCUUAACACAUGCAAGUCGAACGGAGCGAAUGAAAGCUUGCUUUUAUGAGCUUAGUGGCAAACGGGUGAGUAACACGUAGACAACCUGCCGAUAGGAUGGGGACAACAUUCCGAAAGGAAUGCUAAUACCGAAUGGCGUGUAGGGGAGGCAUCUCCCCUAUAUGAAAGAUGGCCUCUAUAUAUAAGCUAUCACCUAUCGAUGGGUCUGCGUCUGAUUAGCUGGUAGGUAAGGUAACGGCUUACCUAGGCGACGAUCAGUAGCCGGUCUGAGAGGAUGAACGGCCACAUUGGGACUGAGACACGGCCCAGACUCCUACGGGAGGCAGCAGUGGGGAAUCUUCCGCAAUGGGCGCAAGCCUGACGGAGCAACGCCGCGUGAGUGAAGAAGGUCUUCGGAUCGUAAAGCUCUGUUGAAGGGGACGAACGUACAUAA
rnacentral:rRNA from 1 species